GUUGGUCUGGUGUUAGUUUGGCAUAUUAAUUUUUCGUAUUAAGGGUGUUAUUGUUUAUAACGACCAAUU
rnacentral:tRNA from 1 species